AACGAACGCUGGCGGCAGGCCUAACACAUGCAAGUCGAGCGAGGACUUCGGUUCUGUCUGCUGACGGGUGUGUCACGCGUGGGAAUGUUCCCUUCUCUACGGAAUACCCCUUUGAAACUGGGAGUAAUGCCGGAUACGCCCUUUUAGGGAAAGAUUUAUCGUACCAGGAUCAGCCCGCGUUGGCUUAGGUUGUUGGUGUUGUAAUGGCCUACCAAGCCGACGAUCCAUAGCUGGUUUGAGAGGAAGAUCAGCCACACUCGGAGUGAGGCACGGCCCAGAAUCCUACGGGAGGGGGCAAUGGCGAAUCUUAGCAAAGCGGGGGAAUCCUGAACGAACUAUGGCUCGUAAGUGAUGAUGGCGGGAGAGUAGUAAAGCUCUUUCAGAUGGGAAGAUAAUGACGGUACCCGAAGAAGAAGCCCCGGCUAACUCCGUG
rnacentral:rRNA from 1 species